rnacentral:tRNA from 1 species
UGAGUUGUAGCUCAGUGGUAGAGCACUUACCUAACGUGUGAGGCACUGGGUGCAAUUCUCAGCACCACAU